rnacentral:lncRNA from 1 species
UUAUGUUGUACUGUUAAAACACUGUCCUGGAUUAUUGGGAGGGUUGGCGCCACUUUCUGAAUGUUCCUGUCCUAAGAUGUGUAACAUAUUUGUUUUUCGUUCAUUGUUUGGUACUUACGUUAGGUCGUAAGUUUUUCUCUUUUGAAUUGUUUUACAAUUUUAAAACGGUGCCUUUAAAACUGAAAAUUCUCUGUCAUUUGGUCUCUAGUGGAGAGUUGUUUCAUUGGCAAUCAUACCACAUCUUCUAAUUUUUAUGGAAGUCUUUAUAUAGUUGGUGACGAGUCUCAAUGAAUGCACUUUACGGCAAAGACCACAACUGUAGCCAGGAGGGUCGCGGGAAAUCAAUAAGCACUGUUACAGUCGAAGUUCUGUUUGAAUUGUGACUGUUGAGUAUGGUUAUCUCGCGAGGUCAUGUACACCCCCCUUUCUUUUAAAAAUCCUGGCUACGGGCAGUAGGAAUGUUGGUAAAACAAUCUCUAAUAAUGAUUUUUGGAAAGGAAAGGCAGAUCUGGUAAAAAAUCUAGACAGUAGCUUCGUUAUCAAUAAAGAAAGUUGUUGGUUCAGGUGAAUCUGACAUUGGGUGUAAGCAGUCUUCAAUAGUGUUGAGAAAGUUGUAUUUAUUUGCACCAAGGAUUUGUCUUACUAUACAAAUCCUUGUUUGCACUGACUUCCCUAGUAAAGUUGAAAAUAUUAGUGGAAACAUCUCUCCAUCAACAAGUUCGUGUGGGAGGUUAGAAUGUAAAUGAGUUUAUACCU